rnacentral:lncRNA from 1 species
AAUUGGGAAAUCUCUCUUUGACUUUCAGAAUAGCACAGUAGCAGAGACUCUAAGUCUAAAGAGACCUAGAUUCAGAGCAGACCCGAUGCUGCUUGAAGAAGGCUGGAAAUGUGUUAAGGAGACAAGCAAGGGCUGUCAAGAAGCAGGGAUAUCUCUGGAAGGGCUUUGCAGUUCACCUGUUCUCCUCUGCUGGGAAUUCUUCUGCUCAGUGUACGCUGGAGAGAUAUGCUGCCUUUUGGCUCAUGCAGGUUUUCAAGUGUAAUGGAAGAGAGAUGACAGCCUCCAAAGACACACAAAGAGACCUGUAUCUGGCUUGCUUUGACUACUGCUACACUGUGCAUUUUAUAUUUCAAUUAAAAUUUUUAAUUAAGAAAUGUUAACUGUUGUAAGAAUGCUUAACAACUAACAUAUUCAUAUGACCUUUAAAUGGAGUAAGUCUUUAGUAAGAGGUAAUGAACUUGAAUAUUAACAUGAUUCUGAUAAAAAAAUAUGGAAAUAUAUUUAAAUUUGUUUUAUGUUAGCAGUAUGUUAAUAUAAAAUGGUAGCUCUCAUCUAGUUUGGGGCUGUUUUAAUUCAGUAUAUUCAGAUGCAUUUUAAUAUUUCACUACUCAAAAC